ensembl:snoRNA
GGUGACAAAGUGAGACUCUGUCUCAAAAACAAAAACAAACAAACAAAAAACCAAAGGAGUUCUCAGAGCUAGCAUCUUUAUACAGUAGAGUUUGAAUGGUAGUAUAUUUCUCCUACAUAA